AGCACCCGCUCAUUCUAUACCCCAUUAUUUGCCCGACCCCUGUCUGCUCAGUUUUAGGUUGGGGUGACCACGGAGUAUAAAAUAACCUCCAUGAAGAAGGGGAUAUUUCCCUUAUUAGAGAACCACACUUCCAAGAACUAAUAAAUUAAUUUUCAAUGACCCGAUACCCGAUAAUCGAUCAACGAACCAAGUUACCCUGGGGAUAACAGCGCAAUCCACCCUGAAAGCCCUUAUUAACAGGUGGGUUUACGACCUCGAUGUUGGAUCAGGGUAUCCCAGUGGUGCAGCAGCUACUGAGGGUUCGUUUGUUCAACGAUUAAAACCCU
rnacentral:rRNA from 1 species